AAUUGGCUUAGUGCAAUAUUAAACUCUUUUCACUUGGUUGCAUGCUUGCCCACAGGCAUUCUAACUCCUCAACUUCUCAUUGCAAUUUGAAGGGCAAUAUCAUCAUAAACUAGUCUGUGAUUGGAGCUUCCAUGGCCUGCCAUUCUCUCAAAAGCCGAGGAUCAAGGAUAUCUUGAUUGGACCCAAAUAGCUCAAUGGAGAUAAUCUUGUUUACCUUGGCAGGAUGAUCUCCAUCGUCUGCUUGUCUUUCAAGAGUUCAAUGCUGCGGUGUUUCAGCCUCUUCGAAUAACUGUUGGCUCGAGAGCCAUGCAUCGGGUCUUGGCAUAGGAUAUGGAUCCUGAGAUGGAUGAGGACCGAAGCGCGAUGCUUCCCACCAUAGCCCAGCUCCACUCCAUUCCCACCAUAGCCCAGCUCACUGGAGUGGAGACGAUGUUGUGCCCGGGCAGGACGGCCAGAAUUAAAUAGAUGCUCUCAUCAUGCAGCGAGUCUUUGGAGAGGCUCAUCAAGUCAUGCAAGACUGCGAGCAAUGCAAAGGUGAUCCACAACCAAAUCCUUUGCACCCACCAAAACCUCACCACCUUUGUGUGCAAUCUGCUGCUGGAGAUGCACUCAAAAUGCGGGAGCAUCUCUCUCGCCCGCCACGUCUUCGACAACCUCUGCCCGCCCUCUUGCAGAGAUUCCUUCACCUGGGUUCUCA
rnacentral:lncRNA from 1 species